CGAUCACCCAAAAAAUGGUGUGUAAUAGCACACGAAAAUUGUUUAAAUGAGGCGUAUGCUCGCUUCGGGGCUCGUUUGACCUUCCAAAUGGCCCAGAAAAGCCGUGAUGGACAACCGUAUGCAUAGACAACGUCUUGACGGAUGUCCACGAACAAAUUUGGCAUUUUUGACGUCGGAAUCCCGAUCACCCAAAAAAUGGUGUGCAAUAGCACACAAAAAUCGUCGAAAUGAGGC
rnacentral:lncRNA from 1 species